GACGAACGCUGGCGGCGUGCUUAACACAUGCAAGUCGAACGGUAAGGCUCCAGCUUGCUGUGGUACACGAGUGGCGAACGGGUGAGUUACACGUGGGUGACCUGCCCUGCACUUCGGGAUAAGCCUGAGAAACUGGGUCUACUACCGGAUAGGACCAUGGUGUGGUUAUUGUGGUGGAAAGUUUUUUCGGUGUGGGAUGGGCCCGCGGCCUAUCAGCUUGUUGGUGGGGUAAUGGCCUACCAAGGCGGCGCCGGGUGAGCGGCCUGAGAGGGUGGACGGCCACCAUGGAACUGAGACACGGCCCAGACUCCUACGGGAGGCAGCAGUGGGGAGUAUUGCACAAUGAGCGGAAGCCUGAUGCAGCGACGCCGCGUGGGGGAAGACGGCCUUCGUGUGGUGAACUCCUUUCACCAUCGACGAAGGGUUUCUGACGGUAGAUGGAGAAGAAGCACCGGCUAACUACGUG
rnacentral:rRNA from 1 species